GGCAUUGAGACCACACGGGAACGUGAGCAUCUAUUGCUAGAGAGCUGUGCAGUGUGGGACAGGCAGUCCGAAGAUUUUUGAAAGAAGCAGCUGCACACAUUGUCUGUUUCACCACUCAUGGGCAGGUGGAAAGCUGAGCCUGGAGAGGUAAAGUUGUUGGCUGGCCACAGGCAGGGGAGGGGGAACCUGCUCCCUUGGGCCUUUGUUGCUGUGCUGGGUGAAGGUUGUGGAGAAGCCUUGCCUCUAGAAAGAGAGGACAGGAAGAGAGCAGUGAUGCCUUAGGAAAAGAAAAAACUGCAAGUUACUGAGCACUGACCACGGGCCAACACCUGUCAGUGCUUGAUGUCAGCCACAGCCCUGAGGGACAAGGGCAUGGAGCCUGGGUCCGUGAAGUGAGCUCUCUCUCUAAGGUUGGAGGUGAAGCGAGGGGGCAUGUGCAGUGUGAACUGGGGGCUCUGACUGCAAGUGCUGUCCACCAUUGGAUCCAGGUGGCUGGGCAUACUCUCACUGUCCAGACGAUGACUGGAUUCGGGGGUCUUUUCUGGUGCCAGAUUUCCAGUGUGUGUCGGCAGCUCUGGUUUUUGUUGGUCCCUUAUCACCAAAGACCACUUCCCCUUUGCCCUUGUGGGGGAUGUGAAGGGUGGCCCUGAAUCACGCACUUCCACUUCCUCUGGUCUUCGCUGGAGCUCUGAAAAGGUGUGAACACCAAACACUACUAUUCUGGGCUGAUGGCGUUCAAUCUGGCCUUCUGUGCACCUGGAGCAUGGGCAGCUCAUCUUGGUCUCGCUGAUGGCACUGUUUUCCAGUGGCUGAAGGAGCAGGUGAUGCUCUGUUUUGCAUGUUCUGUGCUUUCUGCAGACUCCCCUGGUCACACUUGGGCCUGGGAGCUGCAUGGUCACCCAGACAGGGCAUGUCUCAGCCUGCCAGCCUUGGAAGGAAACAUCCCCAACCCAUCAGUGAGUCCUUGCCGCAUCCUAUGACCUUCCGGGUCCCAGGGCCCAGAGCACACCUGCCUCUCAUGAGACUUUCCUCAGCUGGGAUUUAAGUCUGAAUUGCUUAAGAGGAAAGGAGCAGGUCCACAAGGACUCAGAGGCUACAGCAAGUGUCCAGUGAAGCUGUCACAUGUGAUUAAGAAGAGAAAGAAGCCUGUCCCAUGUUCCGGGAUGGACUGGUCUGGCUGCUUAAGGCAGCUACGCUGAAUAAAAUGAUAUGACAAUGCCCCAUGUCUUGAAACUUCAGCUUCCUCCUCUUCAUCCGGGAGCCUCCACCCUGGUCUGAAGCUGUCCCUUCUAUCCUAAGGCCUGCCUUGCCUUCAGAACCCAUGGUCUGUCAGGCCUCCCGGUUCCUCAUUCCCCCAGAUAGAGGUGUGAGGGAGGAGCUCUUCCCACCUUCUGCAGACAGGCAGACUGAGGCUUGAGCAUCUGUGGCUUGCUUUUGAGGACACAAGGGAGGUGGGGGGCCUAGCUGGAGCCAGGUCUUUAGAUCACGGCUCUGGGCUUUCCGCCCACCUCACCCUGACUCCUCGUCUAGCCUCAUCCCCGAUUUCCCCAUUAGACACCUGCUCUCUACCAGGAGACCAAGCAGGAAGGUUUCCUUAGCACCCUUGGGAAAUCUUCUGUUCUUGGGGUACAUUUGGAGUGAUUUCCAGAACGACACCAUCCCCUACCUCCUGAUGUCCUCACCCAGGUGUCCCACAGGCAUGUCUGUCCUUCCCUGCCCAAAAGGGACCCCACCAUCUCCCCCAUCAACAGCUCUUCCCUUUAUUAGACCCCCACCUCUAACCCAACACCCUGAUCAGAGCCUGCUGCUGAGCUUAUCCACACACCUGCCUUCCAGUGGCCUCUCCUUCCUCCCAGCUCUCAUCCCUCCCUUCUCUUCACUCUUGCCACGCCUCAGGCACUGAUCGUUUCUUACCAUGACCAUUGAAACUAUCUCGGACGGGUCCCCCGCUGUGGCAUCCCCGCUCCACGUGGCCCUGGGUGCCUUGCCCUCUCUCACUCCCAGUCUUAGGAACCUAUUCUGGUAACGUGAGCGAUGGGAGUGCACCGGAGUGUGUGAGUUUGCCGGUGGAUUUGCAGAGGGCUGGCGAGCCAGGCCUGGAGCUGGCAGGCGUGAGGGGCUCCCUGGAAAAGACGAACCCAUCUCCCCCACUUCGCUGUGUCACACCAGGUGUCCACUAGAGUUGCCAACUGUGACAGUGUCCGGAGGUUCUCUGGCUGGGGCUCUGAAAGAGACUGACAAAGGCAGAUUAACGAGAGAAAAACAGACACGAGUUUAUUACCACGUGCAUCACGCACACCCAUGGGAACGUCCGCAGCCUGACUCCAUUUGUCCCACUUUCCAAUAUUCCAUGUGGAUAGCCUAGAACCAUCUAAGAGAUAAGGCACCCAGAUCGCAAACCACAGGACUCGGAAUUCUCUGCUUGUCUCCUAAUUAGAAGCCAUUGAAGAGUCAGUGGACUGAAUACAAAUUAACCAUUAGAUCAACUGAAAAUGUCAAGUUUAGAUGAAUCUGAGUUCUCAUUUAGAUAUUUUCUGGCUGUUGGCCCAGCCCCACAAAUAAAUACACAUUUGAAAGUUAUCCUGUUACUUUGAUAAAAGAAUUUGGUCUCUUACAAAUGAUAAUUCAGCUCUCAAUGUGGCUUAGGUGAACAUAGUUUUGGAUUUCUUCAAGUAAGAUAUAUGAGCACAGUGUGUAUUAUCUUUACAACAGAUAUCCAUAAUAAUUAUAGUAACAAAGCCAUCUUUCUAUAUUUCUUUAAAGUUUGUUUUUUCCUUUUAAGCUCCAUCCCAGGAAUUUGGGCUGUAAUUCAGGGACUUGUAGAACCUCACAGUGAGAGAGGAGUGAAGUCCUGUCUGCUUGGAUUUAUUGCUGUCUUGAUUAAUGAGAAUUGCUAGCUUUUCCUUACUUUUGGAAGGAGGCUGGGAAAUGCAAACUUCCCACCUGCCCUUGAAGGAGAAAGGAAUCUGGACUGGAUACAAAGAAGCUGGUGAGGAGCAUUUAUCCUGCAGUCCCUGCUAGGUGCAGGGUGCUGGAGCCUGGAGACCGGAGACAGGGGCAGCACCCCGAUGGUCGUAUACCUGCCAGCCCUGCUGGAGGGGGCGAUUAGGGCAGAAGUCUUUCCACUGAGAAGCGGACUGUGCACUGUUGUGGACUGAGCUGAUAGCUCUCCUGGUGCCCUGAAGUGACACCUUAGCACAGGGUGAGCCUCCUUGGCAUCCUUCAACACCACAAACAAUUCAGGACCAGGCUUCCACUGACAGCUUUGUCCCAGGAAUGGGGUCUGUAAUUCAGGGACCUGUAGAAGUUCACAGUGUGAGAGGAAUGAAGUGUCCAAUCUGCAAUCUGAAUCUUCCCUAUGAAAUUUCCACCUGGUGCCCUCCAGCGCAGAUUCUCGCACCCACAGUCCUGCCUUACAGGGCAGACCAUUUCCUCUCUGACAGUACUACCUGUCUGAAUGUUCUGCUUCAAACUGAGUCAAGAUAUGUGAACCCUGGGUAGAAGAAUUAUCAGGUCUGGAGGGAGCACAAGCAAACUAUCCCAUUUUAUGGACGUGGAAACCGAGGCCUGAGGGAGAGACGCACCAGGAAUCAGGAGAUCUGGCUCUGAUCAGCUGUACAAAUUGAGAAUUGUGACCUGACCUUGUCCAACCCAAGUGGCCCAACUCCUAAUUCUGUGAGUGACAUGUCUCUGUUACUUUGGAAUAUUGAUUGAAGG
rnacentral:lncRNA from 1 species